UACAGAGGUGUCAAGCGUUGUUCGGAUUCAUUGGGCGUAAAGGGUGCGUAGGGGGUUGGGUAAGUCAAAUGUGAAAUCCCGGAGCUCAACUCCGGAACUGCAUUCGAUACUGCCCGGCUCGAGGAUUGGAGAGGAGACUGGAAUUCACGGUGUAGCAGUGAAAUGCGUAGAGAUCGUGAGGAACACCCGUGGCGAAGGCGGGUCUCUGGACAAUUCCUGACACUGAGGCACGAAGGCCAGGGGAGCAAACGGG
rnacentral:rRNA from 1 species